rnacentral:rRNA from 1 species
GACUCAACACGGGGAAACUACACCAGGUCCAGACACAAUAAGGAUUGACAGAUUGAUAGCUCUUUCUUGAUCUUGUGGUUGGUGGUGCAUGGCCGUUUCUUAGUUGGUGGAGUGAUUUGUCUGGUUAAUUCCGAUAACGAACGAGACCUUAACCUGCUAAAUAGACCAGCCGACUUUGGUUAGCUGCUGUCUUCUUAGAGGGACUAUCAGCGUUUAGUGAUGGAAGUUUGAGGCAAUAACAGGUCUGUGAUGCCCUUAGAUGUUCUGGGCCGCACGCGCGCUACACUGACAGAGCCAGCGAGUCUACCACCUUUGCCGGAAGGCAUGGGUAAUCUUGUGAAACUCUGUCGUGAUGGGGAUAGAACAUUGCAAUUAUUGUUCUUCAACGAGGAAUACCUAGUAAGCGUGAUUCAUCAGAUCGCGUUGAUUACGUCCUGCCUUUGUACACACCGCCGUCGCUACUACCGAUUGAAUGGCUUAGUGAGGCCUCCGGAUUGGCUAUUGGGAGCUCGCGAGAGCACCUGA